rnacentral:rRNA from 1 species
AGUGAACGCUGGCGGUAGGCCUAACACAUGCAAGUCGAACGGCAGCACAGUAAGAGCUUGCUCUUACGGGUGGCGAGUGGCGGACGGGUGGGGAAUACAUCGGAAUCUACUUUUUCGUGGGAGAUAACGUAGGGAAACUUACGCUAAUACCGCAUACGACCUACGGGUGAAAGCAGGGGAUCUUCGGACCUUGCGCGAUUGAAUGAGCCGAUGUCGGAUUAGCUAGUUGGCGGGGUAAAGGCCCACCAAGGCGACGAUCCGUAGCUGGUCUGAGAGGAUGAUCAGCCACACUGGAACUGAGACACGGUCCAGACUCCUACGGGAGGCAGCAGUGGGGAAUAUUGGACAAUGGGCGCAAGCCUGAUCCAGCCAUACCGCGUGGGUGAAGAAGGCCUUCGGGUUGUAAAGCCCUUUUGUUGGGAAAGAAAAGCAGCAGGUUAAUACCCCGCUGUUCUGACGGUACCCAAAGAAUAAGCACCGGCUAACUUCGUG